rnacentral:tRNA from 1 species
GCCCGGUUAGCUCAUUUGGUAGAGCAACGCACUUGUAAUGCGUAGGUGGUCAGUUCGAAUCCGACACCGGGCA